rnacentral:rRNA from 1 species
AGAGUUGUAUCCUGGCUCAGAUUGAACGCUGGCGGCAUGCCUUACACAUGCAAGUCGAGCGGCAGCACGGAGCUUGCUCUGGUGGCGAGUGGCGAACGGGUGAGUAAUACAUCGGAACGUACCUGAUAGUGGGGGAUAACGCUUCGAAAGGAGUGCUAAUACCGCAUAAGCCCCGAGGGGGAAAGUGGGGGACCAGCAAUGGCCUCACGCUAACAGAGCGGCUGAUGGCUGAUUAGCUAGUUGGUGAGGUAAAGGCUCACCAAGGCGACGAUCAGUAGCGGGUCUUAGAGGACGAUCCGCCACACUGGAACUGAGACAUGGUCCAGACUCCUACGGGAGGCAGCAGUGGGGAAUCUUGGACAAUGGGCGCAAGCCUGAUCCAGCAAUGCCGCGUGGGUGAAGAAGGCCUUCGGGUUGUAAAGCCCUUUUGUUUGGGAGCAAAGCUUACCUAAUAACACUAGGUGAGGAUGAGAGUACCAAAAGAAUCAGCACCGGCUAACUACGUGCCAGCAGCCGCGGUAAUACGUAGGGUGCAAGCGUUAAUCGGAAUUACUGGGCGUAAAGCGUGCGCAGGUGGUUUUUACAAGACCGACGUGAAAGCCCCGGGCUCAACCUGGGAACUGCGUUGGUGACUGU